GUGCUGACUUCAGCAGCACAUAUAUUAAAACUGGAACGUUGGUGAGAAGACUGUUAUGGCCCCUGUGAAAGAAUGACAUGCAAAUUCAUGAAGCCUUCCAUAUUUUU
ensembl:snRNA U6 U6 spliceosomal RNA